ACGUGACUUAAAGCGGGGUGAACGGACCGUUCAUUCAGACAUCUUCUGAAACAUCAGGAUUCAUCAGGUCUACAGUGAAGUCAACAUGAAGACUCUCAGCCUGACAGUGGGACUGCUGCUCGUGCUGUUCACCGUUUACCACAGCGAUGCCUCUAAGGCAGUGAAUUCACCUGACUUUUGCUGUUUUCACUUCUUUGACAAACGGAUCCCAAAGGCGCACAUCGUCUCCAUCGUGAAAACUCACAGACAAUGCUCCACACCAGCAUUUGUGAUCAAGACACCCAGAAGGCUUUUGUGUGUUAAACAAACUGCAGAGUGGGCAAAGGAACAAUUUGUCAACCAAAAGAGAUAAAAAAAAUUGAACAAAUGCUACAAUUAACAGAUAAAAAAUCAUUAUGUUAAACCUCGGAUAAAUAAAUUUCAGUAUUUAGUAUAUGGACAAAAGUAUUGGAUCACAUCUGAAUCUCUGAAUUCAGGCAUUUUCAGUCUUGUUGCCACAGGUGUAUAAAAUCAAACAAAAUGCCAUGUAGUCUGCACAAACACUUGUGAACGACUGAGUUGUGUCAUGUUGACCCAGCUUGAUGUGACAAUAUCUCAAAGAGCUUCAUCUGAUGAGGAAAGUUUAUAAUGCAACAAUAUG